rnacentral:rRNA from 1 species
GACGAACGCUGGCGGCGUGCUUAACACAUGCAAGUCGAGCGGUAAGGCCCUUUCGGGGGUACACGAGCGGCGAACGGGUGAGUAACACGUGGGUGACCUGCCUUUAGCUCUGGGAUAAGCCUGGGAAACUGGGCCUAAUACCGGAUAUGACCCUAUGGCGCAUGUUGUGGGGUGGAAAGCCUUGUGCGGCUAGGGAUGGGCCCGCGGCCUAUCAGCUUGUUGGUGGGGUGAUGGCCUACCAAGGCGACGAUGGGUAGCCGGCCUGAGAGGGCGACCGGCCACACUGGGACUGAGACACGGCCCAGACUCCUACGGGAGGCAGCAGUGGGGAAUCUUGCGCAAUGGGCGAAAGCCUGACGCAGCGACGCCGCGUGAGGGAUGACGGCCU